GGCUGAUUGUCCAGGCAAAUCCGGAUAAUCAAGGCUGAGGUGUGAUGACGUGGCACUACGGUGCUGAAGUAACAAAAGCCCUGCUUCCAGGAAAAGCCUCUCAGCAUCAGGUAACAUUAAAUCGUACCCCAAACCGACACAGGUGGUCAGGUAGAGAAUACCAAGGCGCUUGAGAGAACUCGGGUGAAGGAACUAGGCAAAAUGGUGCCGUAACUUCGGGAGAAGGCACGCUGGUGUGUAGGUGA
rnacentral:rRNA from 1 species